rnacentral:rRNA from 1 species
CCGAUUAAGCACUACGCCUCGGGAGUACGGACGCAAGGACUGAAACUCAACGGAAUUANACGGGGCCGCGACAAGCGUGGAGCAUGNGGUUUAAUUCGUAAGCAACGCGAAGAACCUUACCAGGUCUUGACAUCCCGCUGCCCGCCUUUAGAGAUAAGGCUUUCCCUUCGGGGUACAGCGGUGACAGGUGGUGCAUGGCUGUCGUCAGCUCGUGUCGUGAGAUGUUGGGUUAAGUCCCGCAACGAGCGCAACCCUCGUGUUUAGUUGCCAUCAUUAAGUUGGGCACUCUAAACAGACUGCCGGUGACAAACCGGAGGAAGGUGGGGAUGACGUCAAGUCAGCAUGCCCCUUACGUCCUGGGCUACACACGUACUACAAUGGUAGGGACAGAGGGCAGCCAACCCGCGAGGGCGAGCUAAUCCCGUAAACCCUGCCUCAGUUCAGAUUGCAGGCUGCAACUCGCCUGCAUGAAGGCGGAAUCGCUAGUAAUCGCAGGUCAGCAUACUGCGGUGAAUCCGUUCCC